AGCGAACGCUGGCGGCAGGCCUAACACAUGCAAGUCGAACGAACCCUUCGGACUCAGUGGCGGACGGGUGAGUAACACGUGGGAACGUGCCUUUAGGUUCGGAAUAACUCAGGGAAACUUGUGCUAAUACCGAAUGUGCCCUUCGGGGGAAAGAUUUAUCGCCUUUAGAGCGGCCCGCGUCUGAUUAGCUAGUUGGUGAGGUAAAGGCUCACCAAGGCUACGAUCAGUAGCUGGUCUGAGAGGAUGACCAGCCACAUUGGGACUGAGACACGGCCCAAACUCCUACGGGAGGCAGCAGUGGGGAAUCUUGCGCAAUGGGCGAAAGCCUGACGCAGCCAUGCCGCGUGGAUGAUGAAGGUCUUAGGAUUGUAAAAUCCCUUCACCGGUGAAGAUAAUGACUGUAGCCGGAGAAGAAGCCCCGGCUAACUUCGUGCCAGCCGCCGCAGUAAAAC
rnacentral:rRNA from 1 species